ACGCUCGACACCUACGGGAGACAGCAGUGGGGAAUAUUGCACAAUGGGGGAAACCCUGAUGCAGCGAUGCCGCGUGAAGGAAGAAGUAUCUCGGUAUGUAAACUUCUAUCAGCAGGGAANAAAAUGACGGUACCUGACUAAGAAGCCCCGGCUAACUACGUGCAGCAGCCGCGGUAAUCUGAGCGGCUGGCAAGGC
rnacentral:rRNA from 1 species